rnacentral:rRNA from 1 species
UACGGAGGGUGCAAGCGUUGUUCGGAAUUAUUGGGCGUAAAGCGCGUGUAGGCGGUUGUUUAAGUCUGAUGUGAAAGCCCUGGGCUCAACCCAGGAAGUGCAUUGGAAACUGAGCAACUUGAGUACGGGAGAGGAAAGUGGAAUUCCGAGUGUAGGGGUGAAAUCCGUAGAUAUUCGGAGGAACACCAGUGGCGAAGGCGGCUUUCUGGACCGAUACUGACGCUGAGACGCGAAAGCGUGGGGAGCAAACAGG